CUAAGGAGACUGCCGGUGGACAAACCGGAGGAAGUGGGGAUGACGUCAAGUCAUCAUGGCCCUUACGGCCUGGGCUACACACGUGCUACAAUGGUCGGUACAAAGGGUUGCCAAGCCGCGAGGUGGAGCUAAUCCCAUAAAACCGAUCGUAGUCCGGAUCGCAGUCUGCAACUCGACUGCGUGAAGUCGGAAUCGCUAGUAAUCGUGAAUCAGAAUGUCACGGUGAAUACGUUCCCGGGCCUU
rnacentral:rRNA from 1 species